UCGAGCGAUCUGCCUUGAAGAUCGGAGUGCUUGCACUCUGUGAAACAAGAUACAGGCUAGCGGCGGACGGGUGAGUAACACGUGGGUAACCUGCCCAAGAGAUCGGGAUAACACCUGGAAACAGAUGCUAAUACCGGAUAACAACAGAUGAUGCCUAUCAACUGUUUAAAAGAUGGUUCUGCUAUCACUCUUGGAUGGACCUGCGGUGCAUUAGCUAGUUGGUAGGGUAACGGCCUACCAAGGCGAUGAUGCAUAGCCGAGUUGAGAGACUGAUCGGCCACAUUGGGACUGAGACACGGCCCAAACUCCUACGGGAGGCAGCAGUAGGGAAUCUUCCACAAUGGACGCAAGUCUGAUGGAGCAACGCCGCGUGAGUGAAGAAGGGUUUCGGCUCGUAAAGCUCUGUUGUUGGUGAAGAAGGACGGGGGUAGUAACUGACCUUUGUUUGACGGUAAUCAAUUAGAAAGUCACGGCUAACUACGUGCCAGCAGCCGCGGUAAUACGUAGGUGGCAAGCGUUGUCCGGAUUUAUUGGGCGUAAAGCGAGUGCAGGCGGUUCGAUAAGUCUGAUGUGAAAGCCUUCGGCUCAACCGGAGAAUUGCAUCAGAAACUGUCGAGCUUGAGUACAGAAGAGGAGAGUGGAACCCCAUGUGUAGCGGUGAAAUGCGUAGAUAUAUGGAAGAACACCGGUGGCGAAGGCGGCUCUCUGGUCUGUUACUGACGCUGAGGCUCGAAAGCAUGGGUAGCGAACAGGAUUAGAUACCCUGGUAGUCCAUGCCGUAAACGAUGAGUGCUAAGUGUUGGGAGGUUUCCGCCUCUCAGUGCUGCAG
rnacentral:rRNA from 1 species